GAGGAGCAGGCCGAGGAGGAGCAGCCUGGACCCUCCUCUGAUCGAGGACCAUCACAGCAAGGGGAUUCCUCCCCCCCACCUCCAGAAGAGGGGGACAAGGAGGUCUACACCCCCAACCAGGAGGGUGUUCCUGUUCCUUCUGUACAAGCGGGUGAGGAGGAAGAGUUGGAGGACCAGGCAGAGGAGGAGCAGCCUGGACCCUCCUCUGAUCGAGGACCAUCACAGCAAGGGGAUUCCUCUCACCCACCUCCAGAAGGGGGGGAGAAGGAGGUGUACACUCCCCAUCAGGAGGAAAUUUUAACCCUCACUUGAUCGGAUGAGGAUCCCUGAACCAAACCUCUUUGAAGGUGGUGACGUCCAGCAAUAACAUCGGUGUUCCUUCGUUGCGCAACUCCAGACAUGUAAAUUUUGUGUAGUGCUUUCCUUAGAAAUUUGAGGGAGAAUCCCCCCUAUGGCUGCAUUAUUACCGGCAAUUAGGUUGACAAUGCCAGCGGGGUUCAUAGAUGUGUCCCCUUCUGACAUAUGCGACCUAUUGGGUUGGGGUCCAUCUCGGCAGAGUUGGAGCUCUCCCCAUAUGCUGGACAACGUAGGAGUUACCUACCGCGGCUUGAUAUAUCGUUAAGGAGGCAUUCUGCACAAUUAAUAUAUCCAUAAUAAGUACUAAUGGAACCAUAGGGCAGUUUUGCCUUCAAGUAAAAUGGCGGUUUCAGUACAACUGUGAAGAGCGCAUGCGUCACAUGAUAGUGCUGACACACAUGACGACGCUCGUCUGGACAUGCGCAAUGAACUGUUGGAGACGCUCAAUGGAGCGCGACGGUCUCGACUGGCGCCAUGACUUUUAGAGGUGCGAUCUCCGUGAUUUUCAUCCAUUACACUAAGUCACUUUUAUUAUAAUCUUACUAAAGAUGUUCUAUAUAUGUAUUGGAAGUCUUGUAUACUAUAUGGUUAUUUGAUCUACAAACAGGUAAAUAGUUCUUGUAUUGUGGAUCUCAUGGCACAUGUCACUUUAUGUACAUGCACUUUGUUAAUUUUUUUUUUUCACAUGUAUUAGAUGUAUUUAAUUUAAUCAUGAUUGUAACCACACCGUGAUUGGUUGGUCACUUAGGAUAUCUCUUUUUAUGCCCUUAUUUUCACUGUUUCUAUGCUUGAGGAAGGCUCUUGUGAGCCGAAACGUCGCA